rnacentral:misc_RNA from 1 species
GAAGAAGAAGAAGAAGAAGAAGCGGAAGCUACGCCUGCACCGCCACCGCUAACGUCAGCCUUCUCCAUGGCUUCUUAAUCUCAAUACCCUAAAUCAAACACCAAAAAGUUUCUAUACAUAUACCUGUGUAUAAUUUCAAUAAGGAUCGAAUUCGGAGAAUGGGGAGGGGUUCCUCUAUUUUCUCCAAGAGCACCAGGCGUCGCCUGAAGAAGAAGUCGGGGCCUCCGUCUCCACCAGUACUCGCACCACCUCCUCCUCCACUGUUGAGGGCAGCAUCACCGCCGCAGCAUUUGAUUGAUGGCAGUACUAAUAAUAAUAAUAAUAAUAA